rnacentral:rRNA from 1 species
UACGUAGGGAGCAAGCGUUGUUCGGAUUUACUGGGCGUAAAGGGCGCGUAGGCGGCAUAUUAAGUCAUCUAUGAAAAUCUCCGAGCUUAACUCGGAACUGUCAGCUGAUACUGAUGUGCUAGAGUGCGGAAGGGGCAAUCGGAAUUCUUGGUGUAGCGGUGAAAUGCGUAGAUAUCAAGAGGAACACCUGAGGUGAAGACGGGUUGCUGGGCCGACACUGACGCUGAGUGCGCGAAAGCCAGGGGAGCAAACGGG